AUUGAACGCUGGCGGCAGGCCUAACACAUGCAAGUCGAACGGUGACGACAGGGCUUGCCCUGUCUGAUCAGUGGUGAACGGGUGAGUAACACGUGAGUAACCUGCCCCUGACUCUGGGAUAACCCCGGGAAACCGGAGCUAAUACCGGAUACGACACCGACCCGCAUGGGUACGGUGUGGAAAGUUUUUUCGGUCUGGGAUGGACUCGCGGCCUAUCAGCUUGUUGGUGAGGUAAUGGCUCACCAAGGCGACGACGGGUAGCCGGCCUGAGAGGGCGACCGGCCACACUGGGACUGAGACACGGCCCAGACUCCUACGGGAGGCAGCAGUGGGGAAUUUUGGACAAUGAGCGAAAGCUUGAUCCAGCAAUACUCCAUGAGUGAUGACAGCUUUCAAGUUGUAGAGCUCUUUAGUUGGUGAGGAUAAUGACAGUAGCCAACAAAAUAGCCCCGGCUAACUUCGUGCCAGCCGCCGCGGUAAGAC
rnacentral:rRNA from 1 species